GACGAACGCUGGCGGCGUGCUUAACACAUGCAAGUCGAACGGAGUGGCGAACGGGUGAGUAACACGUUGGUGAUCUGCCUUGCACUUCGGGAUAAGCUUGGGCAACUUGGUCUAAUACCCGAUAGUGCAAGAUGAGGUCGCGGCCUAUCAGCUUGUUGGUGGGGUAAUGGCCUACCAAGGCGUCGCCGGUGAGCCGGCCUGAGAGGGUGUACGGCCACAUGGGGCCUGAGAUACGGCCCAGACGCCUACGGUGGGCAGCAGUGGGGAAUAUUGCACAAUGGGCGGAAGCGUGAUGAAGCGACGCGGGGUGGGGGAGGAAGGCUUUCGGGUUGUAAACGCCUUUCGACAGGGACGCGGUACCUGUAUAAGAAGCACCGGCUAACUACGUGCCAGCAGCCGCGGUAAUUC
rnacentral:rRNA from 1 species